rnacentral:rRNA from 1 species
UACGUAGGGUGCGAGCGUUGUCCGGAAUUAUUGGGCGUAAAGAGCUCGUAGGCGGUCUGUCGCGUCGGCUGUGAAAACUUGGGGCUCAACCCCAAGCCUGCAGUCGAUACGGGCAGACUAGAGUGCGGUAGGGGAGACUGGAAUUCCUGGUGUAGCGGUGAAAUGCGCAGAUAUCAGGAGGAACACCGGUGGCGAAGGCGGGUCUCUGGGCCGUAACUGACGCUGAGGAGCGAAAGCGUGGGGAGCGAACAGG